rnacentral:rRNA from 1 species
AGCGGAUGACAGGGCUUGCUCCUGAAUUCAGCGGCGGACGGGUGAGUAAUGCCUAGGAAUCUGCCUGGUAGUGGGGGACAACGUUUCGAAAGGAACGCUAAUACCGCAUACGUCCUACGGGAGAAAGCAGGGGACCUUCGGGCCUUGCGCUAUCAGAUGAGCCUAGGUCGGAUUAGCUAGUUGGUGAGGUAAUGGCUCACCAAGGCGACGAUCCGUAACUGGUCUGAGAGGAUGAUCAGUCACACUGGAACUGAGACACGGUCCAGACUCCUACGGGAGGCAGCAGUGGGGAAUAUUGGACAAUGGGCGAAAGCCUGAUCCAGCCAUGCCGCGUGUGUGAAGAAGGUCUUCGGAUUGUAAAGCACUUUAAGUUGGGAGGAAGGGCAUUAACCUAAUACGUUGGUGUUUUGACGUUACCGACAGAAUAAGCACCGGCUAACUCUGUGCCAGCAGCCGCGGUAAU